GACGAACGCUGGCGGCGUGCCUAAUACAUGCAAGUAGGACGCAGUUGCGAACGGGGGAGUAACGCGUAGGUAACUACCUAUUAGAGGGGGAUAACUAUUGGAAACGAUAGCUAAUACCGCAUACUAGUAGAUGGAUCUGCGUUGUAUUGGCUAGUAGGUAGGGUAAUGGCCUACCUAGGCAAAGACACAUAGCCGGCCUGUGACGGUGAUCGGGCACACUGGGAAUGAGACACGGCCCCAGACCCUACGGGAGGCCGCAGUAGGGAAUCUUCGGCAAUGGGGGGAACCCUGACCGAGCAACGCCGCGUGAGUGAAGAAGGUUUUCGGAUCGUAAAGCUCUGUUGUUAAGGAAGCGGUACUUAACCAGAAAGGGACGGCUAACUACGUGCCAGCAGCCGCGGUAAUAC
rnacentral:rRNA from 1 species